rnacentral:rRNA from 1 species
GAUGAACGCUGGCGGCGUGCUUAACACAUGCAAGUCGAACGAAGUGUUUAUUCAAAGUUCUUCUGGAUAGAGAAUAAAUUACUUAGUGGCGGACGGGUGAGUAACGCGUGGGUAACCUGCCUCACACAGGGGGAUAACAGUUGGAAACGACUGCUAAUACCGCAUAAGACCACAGCACCGCAUUGUGCGCGGGUGAAAGAUUGCUCGGUGUGUGUUGGACCUUCGUUUGAUUAGAUAGUUGGUAGGGUAGAAGCAUACCAAGUCAACGAUCAGUAGCCGAGAGGGGAAGGGGAUAGGCUACAAUGGGACUGAGACACGGCCCAAACUCCGACGGGAGGCAGCAGUGGGGAAUAUUGGAGAAGGGGGGAAACUCUGAUCAAGCAACGCCGCGUGAGUGAAGAAGUAGUUCGGUAUGUAAAGCUGUAUCAGAAGGGAAGAAAAUGACGGUACCUGACUAAGAAGCCCCGGCUAACUACGUG